AACGAACGCUGGCGGCGUGCUUAACACAUGCAAGUCGAGCGGUAAGGCCCUUUCGGGGGUACACGAGCGGCGAACGGGUGAGUAACACGUGGGUGACCUGCCCUUAGCUCUGGGAUAAGCCUGGGAAACUGGGUCUAAUACCGGAUAUGACUCCAUGACGCAUGUUGUGGGGUGGAAAGCCUUGUGCGGCUAGGGAUGGGCCCGCGGCCUAUCAGCUUGUUGGUGGGGUGAUGGCCUACCAAGGCGACGACGGUAGCCGGCCUGAGAGGGCGACCGGCCACACUGGGACUGAGACACGGCCCAGACUCCUACGGGAGGCAGCAGUGGGGAAUCUUGCGCAAUGGGCGAAAGCCUGACGCAGCGACGCCGCGUGAGGGAUGACGGCCUCGG
rnacentral:rRNA from 1 species